rnacentral:snRNA from 1 species
UGAUAGGAGGGCAUUCCGGCUGCAACAUUUUACUGAUCACCAGGGUUGAUUCUGAUGGUUUGAUUGGCUAGGAGGGUGUCCUCUUCCUCCACCCCUCAAAAGCAUGUGCUGGAGGACAGCCUUCCCAGAAUAGAGGUGUUACAUUCUUAGGUCAUGGGUAUAUGAGUAGCUGAUGUCCCCUUUAAGUAUCGAGAGAGAGAGAGAGAGAGAGAGAGAAAGAGAGAUAGAGAAGGAGGGAGAAGGAGACAGAGA